rnacentral:rRNA from 1 species
GACGAACGCUGGCGGCGUGCCUAAUACAUGCAAGUUGAGCGCUGAAGGUUGGUACUUGUACCAACUGGAUGAGCAGCGAACGGGUGAGUAACGCGUGGGGAAUCUGCCUUUGAGCGGGGGACAACAUUUGGAAACGAAUGCUAAUACCGCAUAAAAACUUUAAACACAAGGUUUAAGUUUGAAAGAUGCAAUUGCAUCACUCAAAGAUGAUCCCUCGUUGUAUUAGCUAGUUGGUGAGGUAAAGGCUCACCAAGGCGAUGAUACAUAGCCGACCUGAGAGGGUGAUCGGCCACAUUGGGACUGAGACACGGCCCAAACUCCUACGGGAGGCAGCAGUAGGGAAUCUUCGGCAAUGGACGAAAGACUGACCGAGCAACGCCGCGUGAGUGAAGAAGGUUUUCGGAUCGUAAAACUCUGUUGGUAGAGAAGAACGUUGGUGAGAGUGGAAAGCUCAUCAAGUGACGGUAACUACCCAGAAAGGGACGGCUAACUACGUG